UACGUAGGUGACAAGCGUUGUCCGGAUUUACUGGGCGUAAAGAGCGCGCAGGCGGUCGUUCAAGUCGAGUGUGAAAGCCCCCGGCUCAACUGGGGAGGGUCACUCGAUACUGAUCGACUCGAAGGCAGGAGAGGGUAGUGGAAUUCCCGGUGUAGUGGUGAAAUGCGUAGAUAUCGGGAGGAACACCAGUGGCGAAGGCGGCCUACUGGGCUGCACCUGACGCUGAGCCGCGAAAGCCAGGGGAGCGAACGGG
rnacentral:rRNA from 1 species